AGUUUUUGGUUUUCUCACCUGAAAACACACAUUUUAUUUAUUUAAUGUAUAUGAUCAGAAUGCUAUUGCAAUUAAGAAAGCCUAGUUAUGCUCACUGAACUGCCCAUGACUUUUCUAUUUGUGGGAGUCAAUAUAUCAGGCAGAAAUUAAAAUUAGCAUGACACAGUGGGCAGGUUUUUGCUCUUUUCCCCUUUGUGUUUUCCCUACAGAAUGUCACGCGUGAUUUAUGGAAAUUCUAGUAGUGAAAGAUGGAGAGGGAAAAAAAAGGGAGCAAAGGAUAUGUGGGACAUCCUGAAGCAGGCCAAGACAUUCAUCUGGUUUGCCUGUGGUGGUAGAAGCCUGGUGGAAGUUUGGAUUUUCCAUGGAUUUAUUGCAAGCAAAAAGCGACUGGGCUGGAACCUAGGAGGAGCUCCACAACAAAAGAGCUGGAAAGCUCUAGUUUUCCCGUUAGGAUUCAAAGACCAAGUGCUGCUGAAAUGAUUGUCAAUACCUGGUCAGGCCAGUGUGGAGAAACCACCUGGCUGAAGAAUAUAUGAUUUCAUUCAUCCCAACUCUCUCCUGGCAUCAAAAGGAAAGCAAUGCAUAUGUAUCCAGGCAGGUAUCACCCAAGGCUCUUAUGAAUAGUAAUGGCUGGUUUGCAUUGGUCAUGCAAAUUCCAAGUGAUAUCGUGCCUGCUUUCAACUUAGUUCAGGGUGAUCACCUAUUGGCAGUCACCCUUGGGAAAUCACAAAGGUACAGCCCUUUCCAAACUGAUGACAAUACACAGGCUUGGUUUGAAAAGUAGGCUUUGUC
rnacentral:lncRNA from 1 species